GACGAACGCUGGCGGCGUGCUUAACACAUGCAAGUCGAACGGAAAGGCUCCGGCUUGCUGGGGUACUCGAGUGGCGAACGGGUGAGUAACACGUGGGUAAUCUGCCCUGCACUUCGGGAUAAGCCUGGGAAACUGGGGCUAAUACCGGAUAGGACCGUGGUUUGCAUGGCAUUGUGGAAAGAUUUUUCGGUGUGGGAUGAGGUCGCGGCUUAUCAGCUUGUUGGUGGGGUAUUGGCUUACCAAGGCGUCGACGGGUAGCCGGCCUGAGAGGGUGUACGGCCACAUUGGGACUGAGAUACGGCCCAGACUCCUACGGGAGGCAGCAGUGGGGAAUAUUGCACAAUGGGCGGAAGCCUGAUGCAGCGACGCCGCGUGGGGGAUGACGGCCUUCGGGUUGUAAACUCCUUUCGCUGGGGACGAAGCGCGAGUGACGGUACCUGGAGAAGAAGCACCGGCUAACUACGUG
rnacentral:rRNA from 1 species